rnacentral:rRNA from 1 species
UACGUAGGGGGCAAGCGUUGUCCGGAAUCAUUGGGCGUAAAGAGCGUGUAGGCGGCCCGGUAAGUCCGCUGUGAAAGUCCAGGGCUCAACCCUGGGAUGCCGGUGGAUACUGUCGGGCUCGAGUCCGGAAGAGGAGUGUGGAAUUCCUGGUGUAGCGGUGAAAUGCGCAGAUAUCAGGAGGAACACCAGCGGCGAAGGCGGCGCUCUGGGCCGGUACUGACGCUGAGGAGCGAAAGCGUGGGGAGCAAACAGG